rnacentral:misc_RNA from 1 species
GAUGAAGAACGCAGCGAAAUGCGAUAAGUAAUGUGAAUUGCAGAAUUCAGUGAAUCAUCGAGUCUUUGAACGCACAUUGCGCCCCCUGGUAUUCCGGGGGGCAUGCCUGUCCGAGCGUCAUUGCUGCCCUCAAGCACGGCUUGUGUGUUGGGCCAUCGUCCCCCUCCUAGGGGACGGGCCCGAAAGGCAGCGGCGGCACCGCGUCCGGUCCUCGAGCGUAUGGGGCUUCGUCACCCGCUCCGUAGGCCCGGCCGGCGCUUGCCGACGACCAUCAAUCUCUUUCUCCAGGUUGACCUCGGAUCAGGUAGGGAUACCCGCUGAACUUAAGCAUAUCAAUAAGCGGAGGA